rnacentral:rRNA from 1 species
AGUGAACGCUGGCGGUAGGCCUAACACAUGCAAGUCGAACGGCAGCACAGUAAGAGCUUGCUCUUACGGGUGGCGAGUGGCGGACGGGUGAGGAAUACAUCGGAAUCUACUUUUUCUUGGGUGAUAACGUAGGGAAACUUACGCUAAUACCGCAUACGACCUACGGGUGAAAGCAGGGGAUCUUCGGACCUUGCGCGAUUGUAUGAGCCGAUGUCGGAUUAGCUAGUUGGCGGGGUAAAGGCCCACCAAGGCGACGAUCCGUAGCUGGUCUGAGAGGAUGAUCAGCCACACUGGAACUGAGACACGGUCCAGACUCCUACGGGAGGCAGCAGUGGGGAAUAUUGGACAAUGGGCGCAAGCCUGAUCCAGCCAUACCGCGUGGGUGAAGAAGGCCUUCGGGUUGUAAAGCCCUUUUGUUGGGGAAGAAAAGCAGCAGGUUAAUACCCCGCUGUUCUGACGGUACCCAAAGAAUAAGCACCGGCUAACUUCGUG